GAUGAACGCUGGCGGCGUGCCUAAUACAUGCAAGUCGAGCGAACAGACGAGGAGCUUGCUCCUCUGACGUUAGCGGCGGACGGGUGAGUAACACGUGGAUAACCUACCUAUAAGACUGGGAUAACUUCGGGAAACCGGAGCUAAUACCGGAUAAUAUAUUGAACCGCAUGGUUCAAUAGUGAAAGACGGUUUUGCUGUCACUUAUAGAUGGAUCCGCGCCGCAUUAGCUAGUUGGUAAGGUAACGGCUUACCAAGGCAACGAUGCGUAGCCGACCUGAGAGGGUGGUCGGCCACACUGGAACUGAGACACGGUCCAGACUCCUACGGGAGGCAGCAGUAGAGAAUCUUCCGCAAUGGGGGAGAGCCUGACAGAGCAACGCCGCGUGAGGGAUGAAGGUCUUAGGAUCGUAAAGCUCUGUUAUUAGGGAAGAACAAAUGUGUAAGUAACUAUGCACGUCUUGACGGUACCUAAUCAGAAAGCCACGGCUAACUACGUG
rnacentral:rRNA from 1 species